GUAAUUCAUACGGAAUUCCCCUGUUUGGAAAGCCAUUUAAGUCCACAACCUAAAGCAACUGCGCCAGUCGCUCGGCUGAGAAGGCAGAGAGACGGUUGCGCACGCUUGUGGCUGCGGAUCUCCCUGAUAGUGCUGGAUGACGGGAUGUCUCUUCCAUGGCCUGAGUCCUUUCUGUCAUUAGGAGAAGAGCAGAGCAAAAGCCCUAUGGAAAGACUCACCUGAUAUUGCAGAACACAUGUGCUUACAUUUCUUAGCCAUAUUCAGGCUCUCCAUGGGACUUCCUGGACAUCUCCCCUGUUUUCACGUGUCUGCACGCACCAAAUCA